UGGGGAAUAUUGCACAAUGGGCGAAAGCCUGAUGCAGCAACGCCGCGUGAGUGAUGAAGGCCUUCGGGUUGUAAAGCCCUGUCUUUUGGGGACGAUAAUGACGGUACCAAAGGAGGAAGCCACGGCUAACUACGUGCCAGCAGCCGCGGUAAUACGUAGGUGGCAAGCGUUGUCCGGAUUUACUGGGCGUAAAGGAUGCGUAGGCGGAUUUUUAAGUGAGAUGUGAAAACCCUAAGCUUAACUUGGGGACUGCAUUUCAUACUGGAAAUCUAGAGUGCGGGAGAGGAGAAUGGAAUUCCUAGUGUAGCGGUGAAAUGCGUAGAGAUUAGGAAGAACACCAGUGGCGAAGGCGAUUCUCUGGACCGUAACUGACGCUGAGGCAUGAAAGCGUGGGUAGCAAACAGGAUUAGAUACCCUGGUAGUCCACGCCGUAAACGAUGAGUACUAGGUGUAGGAGGUAUCGACCCCUUCUGUGCCGCAGUUAACACAAUAAGUGCUCCGCCUGGGAAGUACGAUCGCAAGAUUAAAACUUAAAUGAAUUGACGGGGGUCAUAGCUGUUUUCCU
rnacentral:rRNA from 1 species